rnacentral:ncRNA from 1 species
UCUAUUGGCGGUCAGUCACUCCACAACAAUGGCUGUCCGUACAUAAGAAAAGGAGGAAAAACCGUUUGCUCACGGUGCGGCAGUGUGGAGACCUGUCGUAAUGCGGCGCACUCCAUCGCGGGUGGUCGCGAGACGGUAUUGGAGGAGUCCUUACCGCCAGAGCAAGGCAUAUGUCC